AAAAAAAUUAAAACUGAAUUAAACUAAACUGAACUGAACUAAAAAAAAUAAAUAUUAUAAGAUACUACGAAGUACUUCGUACUCUAUAUGUCGUAAGUUGUUUAACUCACUCCUCCUCUUUGGCCUUGACAACAUUACAACAAGAGCAAAUCCUUUGUUGAGAGAUGAUGAUGUUGGGUUUGUCAGGUGCACCAUUUUCUUAUCCCCUGAAAUUCUACAGACCCAAUAAAGCCAUAACCUCAAAUUCUUCAGAAUUUUCUCUCUCCUCCGCUGUUACUCCUCGUUAUCAUCUUAACAGCCCAUUUGUUCCCGAGGUUGAUUAUGCAGUGGCUUCAUUACACUCAGAGUUCAGGGACAUCGACAAUUUGGUAGCACACAAUACUUCACGUGUUCUAAAGGCCUUUCAGAAUGCUCGAGUUGGAUCUCAUUUUUUUGCUGGAUGCACUGGUUAUGGCCAUGACGAAGCUGGAGGACGUGAGGGUUUAGACCAAGCAUUUGCCGAUAUAUUUGGUGCUGAGUCUGCUAUUGUCCGUUCACAUGUAAUUUGUUCCCCCGUUUUCUCUCUGCAGUCUUUGCUUUUUGUUCCUAUUGCUAUGUCUCAUUGUUCACUUCAGUUUUUUUCAGGCACCCAUGCUAUUACUUGUGCCUUGUUUGCUAUGUUGAGGCCAGGUGACGAGCUUCUGGCAGUUGCUGGUGCUCCAUACGACACUUUGGAGGAAGUCAUUGGAAAGCGUGACUGUGAUGGGAUUGGAUCUCUAAAAGAUUUUGGAAUCAAAUAUCGAGAACUUGCACUUGCUGAGGAUGGUGGACUUGACUGGGAUGGAUUGAUAAGUGCUGUCACUCCUCAAACAAGGUGUGCACUCAUACAAAGAUCAUGUGGUUAUUCAUGGCGUUGCAGUUUAAGUGUCAAUGAGAUAGGGAGAGCAAUAAAAAUGAUAAAGGUGCAGAAUCCAAACUGUUUGGUCAUGGUGGAUAACUGCUAUGGUGAAUUUGUGAAUGCAAUUGAACCCCCAAUGGUGGGUGCAGAUUUAAUUGCUGGAAGUUUGAUAAAAAAUCCAGGAGGGACUAUUUCACCAUGUGGAGGUUAUGUUGCUGGGAAAGAAAAGUGGGUGAAAGCAGCAGCGGCUCGCUUGUCUGCUCCAGGACUUGGAAUUGAUUGUGGCUCAACUCCUGGUGAUAUCAUGCGGACUUUCUAUCAGGGAUUGUACCUUGCACCUCAGAUGGUUGGGGAAGCCAUCAAGGGUUCAUUAUUAAUUGCUGAGGUUAUGUCUUUGAAAGGGUUCAAAGUUCAGCCACGUCCCCGAGUUCCAAGGAAUGACACAGUGCAGGCUGUCGAGCUAGGGAAUCGAGAACGCCUUAUUGCUUUUUGUGAGGCGGUGCAGAGAAGCUCCCUUGUUAGCUCGUUUACAAAACCAGUGCCUGGAGCAACUGCUGGAUAUGCGUCAGAGGUGAUCUUUGCUGAUGGAACCUUCAUUGAUGGUAGUACCAGUGAGCUGUCAUGUGAUGGACCACUGAGGGAGCCGUUUGCCGUAUUCUGUCAGGGUGGUACUCACUGGACUCAGUGGGGAUUGGUUUUGGGAGAGGUUCUUAAAUCCAUGAGUUAGAGCAGAGAAGGCGUUAGCAUUUUUCUUCCAGAAGUAUUAUUCUUGUAGCCGAGGUAAAGAGAAUCCUGGUGGCACUUUAAAUCUGUAGCACUAGCUAAAGGGUUUAUAUUGACACCCGUGUAUCAUGGACAGUUUUGUCAACAUUUAAGUACAUGGAUCUUCAUACAACUGAUACAAGUGCAAUAUAGUACAAGGAAGAACUACUCUUGCAGUGAGAAUGGGAAAAAGCGACAACCUAAUUUUGUUAAUUGUUUGAAGCAAAUGAUGUGUGAUUUGUGAAAGGCUCUUACAGCUUCCCUUGCCUUGGUUAAGGAAAAAAGGCUGAUGCUGCCUCAAGACUGACUGCUUCUAUCUUAAGAAACCUUAAAUCAAGUCUUUGCUUUGUUCAGGGGCCAAAGAAAUGAUGCAGUCAUGCCUAAAUGUCUGAACAACUUUGAUGUAAACAGUUGAUC